rnacentral:rRNA from 1 species
AUUGAACGCUAGCGGGAUGCUUUACACAUGCAAGUCGAACGAGUGGCGGACGGGUGAGUAAUAUAUGGGGACUGCCCGAUAGAGGGGGAUAACUACUGGAAACGGUAGCUAAUACCGCAUACUAUCGACUAACCCAUUUGGGAUUAGCUAGUAGGUGAGGUAAUGGCUCACCUAGGCGACGAUCCCGAGCUGGUCUGAGAGGAUGAUCGGCCACACUUGAAAGGAGACACGGCCCAGACUCCUGGGGCAGCAGCAGUGGAGAAUAUUUCACAAUGGGCGCAAGGCUGAUGCGACCACUCCGCGUGUAGGAGGAAGCCCCUAGGGUUGUAAAGUACUUUCAGUCGGGAGGCAUUACCGACAGAAGAAGCACCGGCUAACUCCGUGCCAGCAGCCGCGGUAAUUC